ncrna:unclassified sequences DTF2800 RNA
GCCUUGGGCAUGGCAUAAAACUGCUCACCGUCAAGCAACGCAUCGUCUGAUCAACGGUGGCUCAACGAUGUUUGAUGGCACAAGUAAAUAACGUAGCUGUCUUUUGAGCGGGUUAGCUGCAAUCCGAAACGGAGAACUUCGUUUGGACUGUGGCGCUUUUGUUAUGCCCAUUUUGCAGCUGACCA